rnacentral:rRNA from 1 species
CCUACGGGAGGCAGCAGUGAGGAAUAUUGGUCAAUGGGCGGAAGCCUGAACCAGCCAAGUAGCGUGCAGGAUGACGGCCCUACGGGUUGUAAACUGCUUUUAUACAGGAAUAAAGUGAGGCACGUGUGCCUUUUUGUAUGUAUUUUAUGAAUAAGGAUCGGCUAACUCCGUGCCAGCAGCCGCGGUAAUACGGAGGAUCCGAGCGUUAUCCGGAUUUAUUGGGUUUAAAGGGAGCGUAGAUGGGUUGUUAAGUCAGUUGUGAAAGUUUGCGGCUCAACCGUAAAAUUGCAAUUGAUACUGGCAGCCUUGAGUACAGUUGAGGUAGGCGGAAUUCGUGGUGUAGCGGUGAAAUGCUUAGAUAUCACGAAGAACUCCGAUUGCGAAGGCAGCCUACUAAACUGCCACUGACAUUGAUGCUCGAAAGUGUGGGUAUCAAACAGGAUUAGAUACCCGGGUAGUC